GACGAACGCUGGCGGCGUGCUUAACACAUGCAAGUCGAACGGAAAGUCCCUGCUUUUGGGGGGUGCUCGAGUUGCGAACGGGUGAGUAACACGUGAGUAACCUGCCCUUGACUGUGGGAUAACUUCAGGAAACUUGGUCUAAUACCGGAUAGGAGCUCCUGCUGCAUGGUGGGGGUUGGAUAGUUUCGGCGGUUGGGGAUGGACUCGCGUCUUAUCAGCUUGUUGGUGUGGUAGUGGCUUACCAAGGCUUUGACGGGUGGCCGGCCUGAGAGGGUGACCGGACACACCGGGACUGAGAUACGGCACAGACUACUACGGGAGGCAGCAGAGGGGAAUAUUGCACAAUGGGCGGAAGCCUGAUGCAGCCAAGCAGCGUGCGGGAUGACGGCAAUCGGGUUGUAAUCCGCUUUCGCCUGUGACGAAGCGUGAGUGACGGUAAUGGGUAAAGAAGCACCGGCUAACUACGUG
rnacentral:rRNA from 1 species